AUAAAUAAACCAACCUCUUCUCUCUCCCAACCACCACCUCCCGCCCACAUUUCUCAAUCUCAACCCACACUCUCACAUAAUUUGGUUCUUCGAUUCUUGGACACACAGUCUUAACCCAAACGAGAUAGUCCGGCCCCGGCUCCAGAUUUCCGCCGAGAACAAGAACCACCUCUGCCGCCUACUCCUCAACUCCGGCCUGUCGUCCGCGGUCCCGGUCGUCGAGUCGCUCCAGAUUUCCUUCUUGAUUGUCACUUUUCCCUAUCAAUCCCCAAAACCCUAAUCGAUUUUCGCUUUUCAUGUCAAUUUAGAGGAAGGUCGAAGUGCAAGUUUAGCCAUGGCCAAUGACAAAAGCUUGUUCAAGAAAGAACAUGGUCUGGAGAGGAGGCAAGCAGCAGCUUGUCGAAUCAGGGAGAAGUAUCUGGAGAGAGUACUGGUAAAGUGGUGACUGUGGAGAAGGCUCCGAUCAGUUGUCGGAGGUCUGGGCUGAAAUCUGGGUGAAGUUCUUGAGCGUCGGGUCUACCGGCGAGUGAAUCUGACAGAGUAUGGGAGAAGCCAAAGGUUCCAAGUACCAACUGCCAAGUCUUUAUCUUGGUCAAAUUGUGCUGAACUGCUAUCUGGGUUGGUUUAUUUGGUUGGGAUUGUAGUAGCUUGUGUUUAGCGACGACAUUCCUCUAAGAUCUGGUGGUGGGUUUCGGCAAUCAAGGAACAAUGGCCGAAGCCAAAAGCAGAUACCCUUGAAGGUGGAAGAAGAGCUAAACGGGAAAAAUAAAAGAAAAAAGAGAAGAAAAAAAAAGAAAGAAGAAG